AUUGAACGCUGGCGGCAGGCCUAACACAUGCAAGUCGAACGAGUGGCGGACGGGUGAGUAAUGUCUGGGAAACUGCCUGAUGGAGGGGGAUAACUACUGGAAACGGUAGCUAAUACCGCAUACCAUCAGAUGUGCCCAGAUGGGAUUAGCUUGUUGGUGGGGUAACGGCUCACCAAGGCGACGAUCCCUAGCUGGUCUGAGAGGAUGACCAGCCACACUGGAACUUGGGCACGGUCCAGAAUCCUACGGGAGGGAGCAGUGGGGAAUAUUGCACAAUGGGCGCAAGCCUGAUGGAGACAUGGCGCGUGGAUGAAGAAGGCCUUCGGGUUGUAAAGGACGUUCAGCGGGGAGGCGUUACCCGGAGAAGGAGCACCGGCUAACUCCGUGGCAGGAGCCGCGGUAAAAC
rnacentral:rRNA from 1 species